rnacentral:rRNA from 1 species
GCGUGCCUAAUACAUGCAAGUCGAACGCGUUGGCCCAACUGAUUGAACGUGCUUGCACGGACUUGACGUUGGUUUACCAGCGAGUGGCGGACGGGUGAGUAACACGUAGGUAACCUGCCCCAAAGCGGGGGAUAACAUUUGGAAACAGAUGCUAAUACCGCAUAACAAUUUGAAUCGCAUGAUUCAAAUUUAAAAGAUGGCUUCGGCUAUCACUUCUGGGAUGGACCUGCGGCGCAUAUAUCAUUGUUGGUAGAGGAACGGCCUACCAAGGCUGUAAUGCGUAGCCGAGUUGAGCAGCACUGAUCGGCCACAAUGGAACAGAAACACGGUCCAUACUCCUACGGGAGGCAGCAGUAGGGAAUCUUCCACAAUGGGCGCAAGCCUGAUGGAGCAACACCGCGUGAGUGAAGAAGGGUUUCGGCUCGUAAAGCUCUGUUGUUAAGAAGAACGUGCGUGAGAGCAACUGUUCACGCAGUGACGGUAUCUAACCAGAAAGUCACGGCUAACUACGUGCCAGCAGCCGCGGUAAUACGUAGGUGGCAAGCGUUAUCCGGAUUUAUUGGGCGUAAAGCGAGCGCAAGCGGUUUGAUAAGUCUGAUGUGAAAGCCUUUGGCUUAACCAAAGAAGUGCAUCAGAAACUGUCAGACUUGAGUGCAGAAGAGGACAGUGGAACUCCUUGUGUCGCGGUGGAAUGCGUUCAUAUAUGGAAGAACACCAGUGGCGAAGGCUGCUCUCUGGUCUGUAACUGACGCUUAGGCUUGAAAGCAUGGGUAGCGAACAGGAUUAGACACCAUGGUAGUCCACGCCGUAAACGAUGAGUGUUAAGUGUUGGCACGUUUCCGCCUCUCAGUGAUGCAGUUUACGCAUUAAGCACUCCGCCUGGGGAGUACGACCGCAAGGUUGAAACUCAAAGGAAUUGACGGGGGCCCGCACAAGCGGUGGAGCAUGUGGUUUAAUUCGAAGCAACGCGAAGAACCUUACCAGGUCUUGACAUCCUUUGACCACCUAAGAGAUUAGGUUUUCCUUUCGGGGACAAAGAGACAGGUGGUGCAGGCUGUCGUCAGCUCGUGUCGU